GCUGAAGGCAGAAGGAGUAAAAGCUUUUUUGAAAGAUGAGCGUCGAAGACUCGGUUCUGAGCAGAAAUGGUUGCUGAUUGGUGGAGCGCGAAGUGGUUGAGGGAUUCUGGUCACGUGGACAGUGGGCGGGGGAAGUUCGCAGGGCCAGAGGCAUCUUGGACUAGGGAUGGGCACUUGAGCAGAAGCCAGAGACUCGAAAGAAGAGUUACCUGCACUGUUGGAAAUUAGUGUCUCGUAUUCUUGACAAGAAUUCCACCUCAGCUCUCACGUCUGAGGGGUGGAGAUGUUAAUCUACAGAGUUUCCUUAAAUUGGAGAAGCACCAGGACCUCUUGAUUCACUGAUAUUUUAUGAGGAACCCAGGGCUUACUAUUGAACUCUGAUUUUUGUUUCCAUUGAAAUAAAAUGACAGCUUCCUUAAUGUAGUGCAAUAUUUGGUAAAUUAUGUAAAAUAGAAUCUAUCUAUAACCUGCCAAAUAAGUCAUUUUUACCAUUAUCAAGAGCACGGUAGAUAUUUAAAACCAAAGUAACUGUUGGAUUCAGUUUGCUGUGAAUUUGGAAGAAUUUUUUAUUUUUUUUAAUCAUCAUAUAGUCAAAAUGUCCAGUUUGUUUGACUUUCAUUUAUUAUGCAUUUUACUUCCCGAUUUACCUGCUUGCGCAACUGCUGCUAUACUUGGGUUUUCAAGUCUGCUGGAGAAUGUGUGAGUUCCUACUAAAGUCUCUGAUUUUCCCAUUUUAAGUAAGAAGCUGUUGUUUGGGUGAAUAUCUACGUUUAAAAACUGGACUUUUGAUAUGUUUUUUAAUAGCAAACUUUAAUAAGUAAACUGAAGGGUACUUUUUAUUAGUGACUAUCAGGUUGAAUUUGCCCUAAAUUAACUGAAUCCUGAUGUGUAAGCUUUUUAUAUUAUAAAGAAAUUCAGCUAUGUGACAGGAAAAACCAAUGAAAAAACACCAUUAUUAUGAUGGUGCUUUCAGUCCCUUUUGGUAAAAAUGCCCCCGUGGAAUUUAUUUUUUCCUGCUGUGUAUUUGCUAAUCAAAACAGGAAUUUAAGGAGAAUGUUAUUUAAGGCAAUAUCUGUAAAUACUGAAGCUAAAAAUAGGUCAUCAACAAUAGGUUGAUAAUGUAAAAUUGGGAGGGACUCUGACUUGUAUAUAAGAUAAUAAGUCUGGGAUGGGAGUUUAUAAUAUGUAUGCUAAUCGAACAUUUAUUUGCAUAAUCAUUAGAAUAUCAUAAUGGUGUUUUUUUCAUUGGUCCUCUUGACAUUUAACUCAAUUUCUUUGUAAUAUAAGAAUCUAUGUUAUAGAACCAUUGGUUUUAAUCUCAGCCUUACUGCUUUACUAGCUGUGUUAUAUUUCUUCUGGGCCAAACACCUGACUGUCCACAGAGUUCUUCAAAGGUGAAAUAGAGACAAUACGAAUAACUUCUCCUUGGAUGACUGUGAAAUUUAAAUGAGAGAAUAUAUUUUAAAAACCCUUAGAGCAAUGCUCAGCAUAGAGCAUCCACUCAACCUCUGAUGAGGAUUAUGGGGCAUUAAGGUCAAAGUUAUACUAUUGUCCUUUACUCAAUAUGUAGAUUUCUUUUUUUUUUUUUUAGAAUUUUAAUAUUUAUUUUUUAGUUUUCGGCGGACACAACAUCUUUGUUGUGUAUCUUUGUGUGUAUGUGGUGCUCAGGAUUGAACCCGACCCCGCCCACAUGCCAGGCAAGCGCGCUACCACUUGAGCCACAUCCCCAGCCCCUCAAUAUGUAGAUUUCUAAAAGAAGUAUUUAUAUACUUAUAUAAAAUGGAUUAUAUCUGAAAGCCAGUCUCCAUUUGAAUUUUACAAAGCAAAGAAGAUAAGCUAAGGAGUCAAUAGAGAGAGUUGAUAAUUUUACUUUGGCAAGUAAGGACAUUAAAGAAGAAUAAGGAGGGAUUGGGGAUGUAUCUUGGUGGUGGUAUACUUGCCUCACAUGCCCAAGGCCCUGCGCAUCUCAAAAAAAUUAAAAAUGAAGGGGGUGCUGUGUGGUGGUACAUUCUUGUGAUCUCAGCUUCUGGAGAGACUGAGGCAGGAGGAUUGCAAGUCAAGAGCAGCCUGGGCAACUUAGGGAGACCCUGUCUCAAAAAUUUAAAAAUAAAUAAAUAAAUAAAUAAAAAGGGCCAGGUAUGUAGUUCAGGCAUGUAACUCCAUGUUACAUCCCCAGUAAUGAGAAAAGGAAGGAAAAAAAAAAAAAGCAUCGUAGAUCAUCCCCAUCAUUUCAUGAAAGAAAAAAUAAGAUGUCAA